CAAAAGAAAACUGCAUCCAUCCAUCCGUUUUCCAUGAAGGAUUUGUUUUGGUUGGAUAAAUUAAAGGACAAGACCUUGGUUGGGCAGCAGUGAGGACGUUGCUGGAGGGACCACGUUCACCUCCACACUCACUGAAAUAUCUUCAACUCCUUAAUCUCCAACUCAACCUUAAACAACACAACUUCAGUGUGCCCCUUGUUUUCCAGCAAUGGAAAUACCACAUGGGAAGUCAAAAUAUGGAAAUGGAAUAUGGAAAAAUCAAACCAACAGCCAAUAUAUUUAAUUUCUUACUCCAGAAGGUUGAGCAGCUCUUGUUUCCCAGACCAUGGCCCAUCAGCUUGUACAUCCUCCUGAGAUGUGCUUGUGGCUUUUCUUACCAUCAGCAGGGAAAAAAAGUUUUUUCCCUCUAGGUCAC